rnacentral:rRNA from 1 species
GCCCGUUGGGACUCUUUGAAGUCUUAGUGGCGCAGCUAACGCACUAAGUUGACCGCCUGGGGAGUACGGCCGCAAGGUUAAAACUCAAAUGAAUUGACGGGGGCCCGCACAAGCGGUGGAGCAUGUGGUUUAAUUCGACGCAACGCGAAGAACCUUACCUGGCCUUGACAUGCAGAGAACUUUCCAGAGAUGGAUUGGUGCCUUCGGGAACUCUGACACAGGUGCUGCAUGGCCGUCGUCAGCUCGUGUCGUGAGAUGUUGGGUUAAGUCCCGUAACGAGCGCAACCCCUAUCCCUAGUUGCUAGCAGUUCGGCUGAGAACUCUAGGGAGACUGCCGGUGACAAACCGGAGGAAGGUGGGGAUGACGUCAGGUCAUCAUGGCCCUUACGGCCAGGGCUACACACGUGCUACAAUGGUGCGUACAGAGGGCUGCAAACCCGCGAGGGGGAGCUAAUCUCACAAAACGCAUCGUAGUCCGGAUCGGAGUCUGCAACUCGACUCCGUGAAGUCGGAAUCGCUAGUAAUCGCGAAUCAGAAUGUCGCGGUGAAUACGUUCCCGGGCCUUGUACACACCGCCCGUCACACCAUGGGAGUNGAUUGCACCAGAAGUGGUUAGUCUAACUUCCGGGAGGA